CCUGCUCACAGGUUGGCUGGCUCAACCGAGGUGGUGCCCCCUGCUCUGAGAGUCCAGGCCAACUUCAUCCGGCGCCAUGGCCAGAUACAGAUGUUGCCGUAGCCAAAGCAGGAGCAGGUGCCGCCGCCGGAGACAAAGAUGUCGCAGACGACGGAGGCGAUGCUGUCAGAGGAGGAGGAGGAGGUGCUGCCGCCGCAGGUACAGGUGUAGAAGAAGAUACUAAAUGCACAGAAUAGCACGUCCGUCCACCAAACUCCUGCCUGAGAAUUUUACCAGACUUCAAGACCCUCGUGCCACAUCUUGAAAAUGCCACCAUCCAGUGAAAAACAGGAGCCUGCUAAGGAACAACGCCGCCUGUCAAUAAACAUUGAAAAAUCA